rnacentral:rRNA from 1 species
CCCUUAGAUGUUCUGGGCCGCACGCGCGCUACACUGAUGCAUUCAACGAGUUUCCUCCUGGUCCGAGAGGAAUGGGUAACCUUUUGAAAGUGCAUCGUGAUAGGGAUAGACUAUUGCAAUUAUUGGUCUUCAACGAGGAAUUCCUAGUAGACGUAGUUCAUCAGACUGCAUCGAUUACGUCCCUGCCCUUUGUACACACCGCCCGUCGCUCCUACCGAUUGAAUGCUCAGGUGAGCCAUUCGGACUUUCAUCAUGCUGGUUUCCAGUUUUGAUGAAGGAAAGUCUUGCGAACCUUAUCAUUUAGAGGAAGGAGAAGUCGUAACA